rnacentral:rRNA from 1 species
GUCCACGCCCUAAACGAUGAUCACUAGUUGUUCGGAAAGGUGACUUUCUGAGUAACGUAGCUAACGCGUGAAGUGAUCCGCCUGGGGAGUACGGUCGCAAGAUUAAAACUCAAAGGAAUUGACGGGGACCCGCACAAGCGGUGGAUGAUGUGGAUUAAUUCGAUGCAACGCGAAAACCUUACCUACCCUUGACAUGCUUGGAAGAUCGCAGAGAUGUGAUUGUGCCUUCGGGAACCAAGACACAGGUGCUGCAUGGCUGUCGU